AUUGAACGCUGGCGGCAGGCCUAACACAUGCAAGUCGAGCGGCAGCGGGAAAGUAGCUUGCUACUUUUGCCGGCGAGCGGCGGACGGGUGAGUAAUGCCUGGGAAAUUGCCCAGUCGAGGGGGAUAACAGUUGGAAACGACUGCUAAUACCGCAUACGCCCUACGGGGGAAAGCAGGGGACCUUCGGGCCUUGCGCGAUUGGAUAUGCCCAGGUGGGAUUAGCUAGUUGGUGAGGUAAUGGCUCACCAAGGCGACGAUCCCUAGCUGGUCUGAGAGGAUGGUCAGCCACACUGGAAAUGGGACACGGUCCAGACGCCGACGGGAGGCAGCAGUGGGGAAUAUUGCACAAUGGGGGAAACCCUGAUGCAGCCAUGCCGCGUGUGUGAAGAAGGCCUUCGGGUUGUAAAGCACUUUCAGCGAGGAGGAAAGGUUGGUGCCUAAUACGUAUCAACUGUGACGUUACUCGCAGAAGAAGCACCGGCUAACUCCGUGCCAGCAGCCGCCGUAAUAC
rnacentral:rRNA from 1 species